CCCUUAGAUGUUCUGGGCCGCACGCGCGCUACACUGAUGCAUUCAACGAGUCUAAAACCUGCUCUGAUAGGGGUGGGUAAUCUUUUGAAUGUGCAUCGUGAUUGGGAGAGAUGAUUGCAAUUUUUCAUCUUCAACGAGGAAUGCCUAGUAAACGCAAGUCAUCAGCUUGCAUUGAUUACGUCCCUGCCCUUUGUACACACCGCCCGUCGCUCCUACCGAUUGAAUGAUCCGAUGAAUAUCAUGGAUUGAGGAUGCAAGUAGGUUCGCCUAUCUUCAUCUUCGAGAAGUGAAGUAAAUCUUAUCAUUUAGAGGAAGGAGAAGUCGUAACA
rnacentral:rRNA from 1 species